AUCCUUACCUGGCAGGGGAGGCACUGUGAUCACCCAGGUGGUUUUCCCAGGGCGAGGCGUAUCCAUUGUACCCUGGAUGUGCUGACCACUGUGAUUUCUCCAAAUGUGGGAAAUUCAACGGGGUAAUUCUUGCGAGUGGGGGACUGUGUUCAUGCUUUUUUCUG